GAUGAAGAACGCAGCGAAAUGCGAUAAGUAGUGUGAAUUGCAGAAUUCAGUGAAUCAUCGAAUCUUUGAACGCACAUUGCGCCCCUUGGUAUUCCAUGGGGCAUGCCUGUUCGAGCGUCAUUUGUACCUUCAAGCUCUGCUUGGUGUUGGGUGUUUGUCUCGCCUUUGCGUGUAGACUCGCCUUAAAACCAUUGGCAGCCGGCGUAUUGAUUUCGGAGCGCAGUACAUCUCGCGCUUUGCACUCAUAACGACGACGUCCAAAAGUACAUUUUUACACUCUUGACCUCGGAUCAGGUAGGGAUACCCGCUGAACUUAAGCAUAUCAAUAAGCGGAGGA
rnacentral:misc_RNA from 1 species